rnacentral:misc_RNA from 1 species
GGUCAACUUCAUCGGGACUCGGGAGUCAUGUGGAUUUCAGUCAGAAAGCAAUAUGGUUCCCUGAUGUUAGCUGGUGACCAAACCAUAUGAAAUGGGACAUCACCUUAAUUCCUCAUUUUAUCAUGCACGAGGAGUAAUGUUAGCCUGCAUGUUUAGUAUUCCUUGAGUAACUACUGUGUAUCUCUCUUUCUUUAUUUAUGAGGAUGAGAUUGAUACAUUUGUUUAAUGUCUUUCACCAUCUUAAUUAAUAUCUAUGUAUACUCGUACUUGUGUGGGG